rnacentral:rRNA from 1 species
GAAGGCUGAAAUUCGCCUUCCAUGAAGCCGGAAUUGCUAGUAAUGGCAGGUCAGCAUACUGCCGUGAAUACGUUCCCGGGCCUUGUACACACCGCCCGUCACACCAUGAGAGUUGGGAAUACCCGAAGCCUGUGAGCUAACAUUAAGAGGCAGCAGUCGAAGGUAGAAUCAAUGAUUGGGGUGAAGUCGUAACAAGGUACC